rnacentral:rRNA from 1 species
AUGGCGUCGAGGUCCAAUGCUAUUUCCCGGCGGUGUCCUCCACAACUAGGAUCCCCUAAUGAUGCUCUGCAUAAUCCUUUUUUUGAGUUGGCUGCAGACGUACAUUAUGACCACUUACACAUAAGAGUAAGGACCCAUCAGUCACAAGCUAGAAUGAAAGCUAGAAAACAUCAACAGUGUCAUGUGGCCUUUAAUAACACAAGUUUGCUGGAGCAUGCAAGAAGAAAAUUGAGAGGUGCCGCAAGGUGGAGAUCAGAAGGCGGUGUGGGACAAGGGAGGACGCUACAUAUUGCUCAAUGGGGUUACUCCCUAAUAGUUCCACAUUCUGUUGUAGAAUUGUCAUUUAGGGUCAAUGUUUGA